AACGAACGCUGGCGGCGCGCCUAAUACAUGCAAGUCGAGCGAGAAGACGUAGCAAUACGUUUGUAAAGCGGCGAACGGGUGAGGAAUACAUGGGUAACCUACCCUCGAGUGGGGAAUAACUAGCCGAAAGGUUAGCUAAUACCGCGUACGCUCCUUGGACUUCGGUUCAGGGAGGAAAGCGAUACCGUGGGUAUCGCGCUCUUGGAUGGGCUCAUGUCCUAUCAGCUUGUUGGGAGGUAACGGCUCACCAAGGCUUCGACGGGUAGCUGGUCUGAGAGGACAAUCAGCCACACUGGCACUGCGACACGGGCCAGACUCCUACGGGAGGCAGCAGUAAGGAAUAUUGCGCAAUGGGCGAAAGCCUGACGCAGCGACGCCGCGUGGGGGA
rnacentral:rRNA from 1 species